GGGGGCGUACUGGUUUCGACCUUGAAGACCCGCCAGAGGCGGCACGCCGAGGAUGGUUCGUUGGCCUCGUUAAAAAUCGGACCGAAAAUCAAAAGCUAACGAAGAAUUGGCUCUCGCGGCCUAAGGCCGCGACGUUCACCGCUGGACACCUGCUACGGUGGAUGAACGAAACAGCAGGCAUGGUGGAAGGCGGGGACAGCGCGCCGUUCAUCGAGAUUAUUUCAUGCUGACUAAGCUGCCGGUCUCGAGUUAGAGCGCUAUCCGGCAGCCGACAAAAUAUCUCUGACUAAGCGUGUAGUCGCGGCUGGUUGUGCUGCUUGGGACGCGGGUUCAAUUCCCGCCGCCUCCACCA
rnacentral:tmRNA from 1 species